UACGUAGGGGGCAAGCGUUGUCCGGAUUUAUUGGGCGUAAAGAGCGUGUAGGCGGCCACACAGGUCAGCUGUGAAAACUCGAGGCUCAACCUCGAGACGUCGGUUGAAACCGUAUGGCUAGAGUCCGGAAGAGGAGAGUGGAAUUCCCGGUGUAGCGGUGAAAUGCGCAGAUAUCGGGAGGAAUACCUAUGGCGAAGGCAGGUUACUGGGCCAUCACUGACGCUGAGCUGCGAAAGCUAGGGGAGCAAACAGG
rnacentral:rRNA from 1 species